rnacentral:rRNA from 1 species
GACGUCUGUGUAUGGCGCACUUGGCCCGUCUCGGUUACGAGUAUGUGUGCCGGUGUGCGCCUGCCAUCCAUCUGGAGAACAUGAAUCCGCACUUCACUGUGGUGGUUGUUUAUGCACAUCCAGAUCUUUUACUUUGAAAAAAUUAGAGUGUUUAAAGCAGGCUUGUUGCUGUGAAUACAUUAGCAUGGAAUAAUGAUUUAGGACUUUGGUCUUAUUUUGUUGGUUUCUAGGACUAAACGUAAUGAUUGAUAGGGACAGUUGGGGGUGCUAGUAUUCAGCGGCCAGAGGUGAAAUUCUUGGAUUCGCUGAAGACUAACUUAUGCGAAAGCAUU